AUUGAACGCUGGCGGCAUGCUUUACACAUGCAAGUCGAACGGUAACAGGCCGCAAGGUGCUGACGAGUGGCGAACGGGUGAGUAAUGCAUCGGAACGUGCCCAGGCGUGGGGGAUAACGCAGCGAAAGCUGCGCGAAUACCGCAUACGAUCUAAGGAUGAAAGCGGGGGCCCGUAAGGCCUCGCGCGAUUGGAGCGGCCGAUGUCAGAGUAUGUAGUUGGUGGGGUAAAGGCUCACCAAGCCAACGAUCGGUAGCUGGUCUGAGAGGACGACCAGCCACACUGGGACUGAGACACGGCCCAGACUCCUACGGGAGGCAGCAGUGGGGAAUUUUGUACAAUGGGCGCAAGCCUGAUCCAGCAAUGCCGCGUGCAGGAAGAAGGCCUUCGGGUUGUAAACUGCUUUUGUACGGAACGAAAAGGCUCUGGAUAAUACCUGGGGCUCAUGACGGUACCGUAAGAAUAAGCACCGGCUAACUACGUGCCAGCAGCCGCAGUAACAC
rnacentral:rRNA from 1 species